rfam:Dipodomys ordii contig_56077, whole genome shotgun sequence.
UAGCUCAGUGGUAGAGUGCUUGCCUUGCAUGCAUGAGGCCCUGGGUUCAAUUCCUCAG